CAGUCCGCGUCGGAUUGCACACCUCAGACCUUGGACGGCCACAUUCAACUUGUGCUCUCCUUUAUAUACGGCUUGGAUCCUUUACUCCAAAAAUGGUCCCGCCCACAAUAACGAUGGGUCUUCCCCCAUCGGUUAACUCGAGAUAAUACCUCACAGACAUUCUCAACGGUUCACCUUAAUCCAGACAGUAUCUAUAUGUAUGCACAGAGUCCAGUCUCCUACGUGUCAUGCUAACGAUGCCAUCACAACUGGAAAAGGGGAGUGCAUGACAGUUAUUAUCUUCACAUCGACUGUGUUUCAGCACAGCUGUGUGUGUACACGCUUUAUUGUUAACCCGCUCCGGAGCUCAACACACGGUAGAGCAAAAGCGGCGCCAAGGCUUCCAGAAAUUUGACUUUUGAAGAAAGAAGCCAUCAAAACAGUUGGCAGCUUGACUAUGCCUUUUGCUCCAUGGAAAAGAAACGAUGUGGAUGAACAGAGUGUGGCCCACCUUCCCUCCACUUUCCUUGUGUGCAGCAGCUCCAAACAGAUGAAGAAAUAAAAUCUGGGCAAACGUAAUAAAGAGGUCAGGAAAAUUGGAGGAGGCCAGAUGGCCUGUUGCUCAAACUAAGAACACAGGGUUCCUGGGGAGCCGCCCGUUAGCACGGAAAGAAAUAUUUCCUCCAAUCCUGUUUUGAAACUGGCACCUUCCCCAUCUCGUCUCAGCCUAAGACUACCUUUUACAAGGAGACUUUCGGGAUCAGCAUUUUCAAGGAGACCUUCCAUUCCUCCCGCUGCCCAGUUACGCUUCAUUGUGCUGCCUUGUUGUGUUCCAUCUGUUGCUUACUGCAUUGAUAUCAUUUCACUGCUGUGUGUUUGCUUCAUUGUCAGCUGUAUGUCUGCUCUAAGACUUCAGGAGGGUGAAGAACUUGGGAGCCAUCAUCAAGAACUUUCCAUAGGCACCCUUAGCACUGUCUGGCACAAACUAUCUGUGUGCCGUAAUACAAGAGUCAACAAAUCAUGCUUUGCAAGGCUGUUAAAGCUCAUAAAUUAGGGAGGACAUUUUCAACCUGACUUACUCUUACCCUAUAUAUAACCUUACGAAAUUUUAACCUCUGGGUCGAUGAGAUGGUUCAUUGAGUUAUGGUGCUUGCCAACAUGCCAGACAAUGCAAAUUUGAUCCCCCAAACCCACAUAAUGGAAGAAGAUAAAUGACGUCAACGAUUUUCCUCUGGCCUCACCAUACCCACUGUGGCACAUAUGCCCUCAUGCACACCCUCAUGCGUGCACA